rnacentral:rRNA from 1 species
GACGAACGUUGGCGGCGUGCUUAAUACAUGCAAGUCAACUGAAGCAGUGGUAGCAAUAUCGCUGUGGAGGUGGCGCACGGGUGAGUAACACGUAGGUAAUCUGCCUUCAGGUCUGGCAUAACUUCGGGAAACCGGGGCUAAUAGCAGAUGAUGCAGCGGCUCGACAUCGAGACAGUUGUUAAAGCUAUGGCGCCUGAAGAUGAGCCUGCGUCUGAUUAGCUAGUUGGCGGGGUAACGGCCCACCAAGGCAACGAUCAGUAGCUGGUCUGAGAGGAUGAUCAGCCACACUGGAACUGAGACACGGUCCAGACUCCUACGGGAGGCAGCAGUAAGGAAUAUUGCUCAAUGGGAGAAAUCCUGAAGCAGCAACGCCGCGUGAGGGACGAAGGGCUUUUGCUUGUAAACCUCUGUAGUGAGAGAAAAAAAUCCCAAUCUUUGGGACAUGAUGGUAUCUCAAAAGUAAGCCCCGGCUAACUACGUG